rnacentral:rRNA from 1 species
CCUACGGGUGGCAGCAGUGAGGAAUAUUGGUCAAUGGACGGAAGUCUGAACCAGCCAAGCCGCGUGCAGGAAGACGGCUCUAUGAGUUGUAAACUGCUUUUGUACAAGGGUAAACCUGAAUACGUGUAUUCAGCUGAAAGUACUGUACGAAUAAGGAUCGGCUAACUCCGUGCCAGCAGCCGCGGUAAUACGGAGGAUCCAAGCGUUAUCCGGAUUUAUUGGGUUUAAAGGGUGCGUAGGCGGAUUGUUAAGUCAGAUGUGAAAUGUCCGAGCUCAACCCGGGAACUGCCUCUGAUACUGGCAGUCUAGAGAGUAGAAGCGGUAGGCGGAAUGUAUGGUGUAGCGGUGAAAUGCUUAGAGAUCAUACAGAACACCGAUUGCGAAGGCAGCUUACCAGUCUAUAUCUGACGUUGAGGCACGAAAGCGUGGGGAGCAAACAGGAUUAGAUACCCGAGUAGUC